rnacentral:rRNA from 1 species
GCCCGGUUACAUUCCGAACCCGGAAGCUAAGCUCUUCAGCGCCGAUGGUACUGCAUGGGGGACCGUGUGGGAGAGUAGGACGCCGCCGGAC